UUUUUAAAUAAGUGGGUCAGAGGGACCGAGGGGAGAUGAGGCGAUCAAUCUUAGCCCCCUGACAGCUCGCUCUGAUGGCAUCAAAGAAUUUGGCUCUUUGGGAAAGCCGAGGGAACAGCCGAAAUUCCACAUCCCUUGAAAAGGCCUGGGGGGUGGGGGGUGUGAAGCAAAAGAGAAAGGUGAUGCUGGGCGCGCCGGGAAACAGAUGGGAAAUGGGGACCGCGGAAGGGCGCUGGGCUGGGUGGAAAGUUUGCCGGGAGAACUCCCACGGCUCGGGCCUCCCCUCCCCCUCCCUGCUCGCUGCCGCCUGCCCGGCGAGGAGGAGGCCAAGCCUGGUUAGCAGAGAAAUGGCAACUCCGGCCCGGGCAGCGGGAGCUAGAAAGUUUCUGUCACUGUAAGAGCCGAGUGGGUGGUGGAGAAUUGCCAGAAGAAAAAAAAAAAUCAAGAUUUGGGGAAUUACCCACAGAGACCAAAGGUGUGUUAACUUGGGCGCUUCUUGGAUUCUACCCUGAGGAGGAGGAGGCGCAUGAUGAGAGGAGAGGUCUGUGUAGGUAGGGUGGGGAUCGCAGGGUCCGUGGUGCUGGCUGGAGGCCAUAGGGGGCGCCCCGUUGUAGUCCAGAUUCCCAGAGGGGUGGUGGGAAAGGUGGUUGAGGCCGUAGAGGGAGGGGCCGGCAGGGGGCGGCAGCGGAUCCGCGUAGCCGCCCCCGCCCACGUACACCGGGCUGCCCUGCAUGGUGGGCGUCCCGUAGGCGCCCCCGUUGGCUUGGAGGACGUGAGGCUCGUAAUCGGGCGCCGGGGUCGGGGGGUACUUCUGCGGGGCGCCGCAGCCUUUGAGAGGAGGCUGGUAGUUGGAGGGCAGCGCGUAGGCAUUCUGGUGGGCUUUGCCGAAGGCGGGCGGGGACGGGCUCUCGUAGCUGGGGGUCAUGGAGUGCAAGGCGUUCAUGAAGCCGGCCGUGGACUGCAUGGGCUGCGGGGGGCUGCCGGCGGGGGAGGGGCCCCCCGAAGACGAGGCCAGGCCCUUGGCCUUCUGGUCCUUCUUGUACUUCAUGCGCCGAUUCUGGAACCAGAUCUUGAUCUGCCGCUCGCUGAGGUUCAGCAGGUUGGCCAUCUCCACGCGGCGCGGCCGGCACAGGUAGCGGUUGAAGUGGAACUCCUUCUCCAGCUCCACCAGCUGCGCGCUCGUGUACGCCGUCCGUGCCCGCUUGGACGCCGCCGACCCCGGGGGGCUCUUGUCCCCUCCCCCGCCGCCGCCCCCGCCCCGCCGCCACCACUGCCUCCUCCUCCGCCGCCGCCGCCGCCGCCGCCGCAGCCCUCCGCUGGAUCCGAGGGGGGAGGGGUGGGAAGGGGAGAAAAUGAAAUAAAAGAUAAUUACUGAACACGCCGAAAUUGAAUGCAUCGUUUCUUAAUAAAUCCAGGCCCGGACUCGGAGCCCUCGCCGCCCUCCCCUUCGCGUCCCCGCCUCCUUCUCUCUCCCCUCCCCCCCCGCCCGUCGCAUUAGCGGACACUCUAUAAUAGUGGCAUUUAUUAAGAGACCUGUUCUCCUCUCGCUGCCCCAGCUUAUGAAAAUUUGAUCAUGUCACGCAGAGCCGCAUGGCCAUUUAUUUAGGGCUGGAUUUUCUCGCGCACGCUUUCUCCCCCUUAUCCUCAGUUCCAGGUUUGGAAGACACUCCUCCCACGCCCACCCCGCCCGGUCCCCUGGACUGGGCAGGUUCCUUUCAUCCAAGCAGAGUUGAGGAUCUCUGAAAGAGGCAGGAGGGAGAAGUAAGUCAAGCAGGGAACCUUCUGGUGUGAGGGAUUCUCUCCUUCCCCUCCCAUCUCUGGAAGACAACAACCUAACCUAGAAACUUCUGGAAGACUUUUGACCUCCAAAACCAGUGGAACUGAGCCUCUUCCACGGCGGCCCUGCUGCAGGUACCACCAGCUCUAGUCUGAGUCUUUGCUCAAGUCUGGGACCCCAGAGCCAGCAGCCCUCGUGGGGCCCCCAAAUGGAACAGGACUGUUUCCCUGGCAGGGCCAGUUGGUGCUGUGACCAUUUGGCCCAGGUCUCCCCCACCUUCCAUUUUUUUCUUUUUCAUCAGACUUAAUUUUUUUCCCAUCCUUUCCUUGACGGUCUAGUUCCUUGGAUUUCUCCAAAAGAAGAAGAGAGAAAUUGGAUAACUGCUGGACUUCUCUACCAAGAGAUGGAAAAGUUUUCUAACAGAGCAAAUUUUUUCCCUAGGAAAAAAGAAACUAAACAAAGCAAUCUGAACAAUGUUAUUCUCUGAAUUGGAAAUGGGGUGCCCCUCUUUACUGAAAUUCUCUGAGACAAAAAAAAAAAAAAACACCCCACCUCAUUAUUUUAAUACAGGCUUCUGAGUGUGCCAGAAAAAUAAAGGUUCAAGCUGUCACAGGAUUUUGUGUAUUUCUUCUGAAACUUCUGAUUGCAUUCCCCCAACACUCCCCAUCACUUUUCAUAAAAAUCUUCAGACUGACCCUCUCUUCUGACAAGGGAGUUUGGACUACUUAAAUCUCAUUCAGCCCAGCUGGUCAAUUCCAAAGAAAACUAAAAAUAGGAAAAUAAAAUAAAAGGAGGGCAGGCAAAGGAAAUCCCUCCUACACAUAAAUCCCCUUCUUCCUGGCACAGAUUUAGACUCAAAAGGGAGCUGAGUAGUUCCGAUUGGUUUCUGGGAAGAAUUUGUUUCUGGGACAUACACAUGGGUCUGCAAAGCAGCAGGUCCUUCCAGGGAGGAGAACUGGAGUUCAAUUGACCAGGCUGACCCAAUCCCUUUAUUAUUAUUAUCAUUAGCCUCUGAUGAUUUAACCAAAAUUAGCUUCGGAGCAGCCCUGGCUGAAGGGGGAAUUAAUUAACAGGCAUCAGUUGAGUUUGUUAUUAAUAGACAGAGAGGAGAAUGAACUAAAAACGUUGGAGGGGGUUGGCUGGCGGCGCCCUGGCUUUAUUUAGUCUAAAUGAUCGUUACAGCUGUAAUGAUGAUGACCAUGACGAUGAUGAUGAUAAUAAUAAUAAUAAUAAAACAAUAAUUUGACUAGACGCCUGGGGCCGAAAUUCCUGUCGCUCCCCCUGCAAUAAACUCGCAAACCAUCGCAGGACCGAGGCCAGGCGACUGUGAGAAGCGAGAAGCCAGAGACGUGACAGCAAAGAAUGGAGACUCUGCCGGCGGCAAGAAACGGCCCGGAAGGUUUGUGGACGGAGUUAGCCUCCGGCUGCCGCCGCCGCCGCCGCCGCCGAGCUGCCUCGGCCGCUGCUGCCGCGGUGGCUGGCGACCGGCUAUGUUGGCCCAAGGAGGCGAACCGAGAGCUUUGGGAACGCGGAAACGGUUCGCGGCAGCAGGUUCCAAGAGCCACCGGGCCGAGGGCCGAGCCCUAGGGCGACAGCAAGUUUGGGAGCUGGAGGUAACCGAAUUAAAAGGCGCCUUAGCAACUCCGCACCGGGACUUUGCCAGGCCGGGCUGGGCUGGAGGGCGCAGAGGCCUGGCUGAUGGGACAGUGACAAGAGGGAAAGGUGCCGAGGGGAUCCGAGAUCUGGGGAUCCAGGAGAAGGGGGUGGGGAGCAGCCCUACCAAGCCCAACGUGUCUAUUUCCCUUGCCUCCAUGUUGGAAGAAUCCAGGCUCCAUAUGGCUUCUCAGGAGAGAGGAGGGAGGGAGACGGUGGCUCCCGGCUUCCCCCAGGGUCUCACUGGAGAAGGGCUGUGAGCCACCCCAAGAAACCCACCUUUCCCGGGCCAACCCCCUGAAAGCCGGGGAGAGUCACAAUAGCUGGGGAAGCCCCAGGAGAGGGGAUAGGCCACCUUCCAGGACUUCAAAAAAUCAUCAUAAUCGACAGAAGAAAAAUAAAAGAACAAAAAAGGAAGAGAGGAAAAGGUUAGGCUCUUCUUAGCAGCCGGGGGUAACAUUCAGCCCUGAUCAGGCUGCUGAAAAGAAAAGAGAGGAGAAAAGGAGAGAAGCAGAAAGACAGAGGGAGAGGGAGAGAGAGAGAGAGAGAGAGAGAGAGGGAGGGAGGGAGGGAGGGAGAGAGGGAGAGAGAGAGGGAGAGAGAGAGAGAGUCGCUGCGUGGAAGGAAGCUUAAAGCUUGUGAACUCUUCUUGAACCGAGAUUGGAGUCAUAUGGGCCAUAAAUCAUUGAGACAUACUCUCCGCCAUUCACAAACUGAUAGCCUAUUUCAGUCCA